ACUCCUACGGGAGGCAGCAGUGGGGAAUCUUGCGCAAUGGGCGAAAGCCUGACGCAGCCAUGCCGCGUGAAUGAUGAAGGUCUUAGGAUUGUAAAAUUCUUUCACCGGGGACGAUAAUGACGGUACCCGGAGAAGAAGCCCCGGCUAACUUCGUGCCAGCAGCCGCGGUAAUACGAAGGGGCGUAGCGUUGCUCGGAAUUACUGGGGCGUAAAGGGAGCGUAGGCGGACAUUUAAGUCAGGGGUGAAAUCCCGGGGCUCAACCUCGGAAUUGCCUUUGAUACUGGGGUGUCUUGAGUAUGAGAGAGGUGUGUGGAACUCCGAGUGUAGAGGUGAAAUUCGUAGAUAUUCGGAAGAACACCAGUGGCGAAGGCGACACACUGGCUCAUUACUGACGCUGAGGCUCGAAAGCGUGGGGAGCAAACAGGAUUAGAUACCCUGGUAGGAUAGCG
rnacentral:rRNA from 1 species